AAAAGUGAGUUGAAUUCAUUUUGUCAGUGUAUCGGUUACAGUAAAUGAAUAAGGUAAAAGGAUAAAAUCGUGCAUUAUUCCUAUAAAUAUAUCGAAUGUUUUUAUUGAUGAAUCAUUGUUGAUAAUUCGUCAACCUAUAAAGUUUUAGUUAGGAGGAGUAAAGGGAGAUGUGCUUAUUAGAUAAUAGAUAAAUAAUUUGCAAAAUUAAUAUAGAAAAUAAGUGUAAAUUAUAUAAAUAAACGUAUGACUAUCCUAAGACCAUCAUAAGACACCUCUCGUAUAGUCCUAAGUUUAUGACCAACUUUAAGAGAUGUCCUAAGUUAGGACCACUUUGUGAAACCCACUUAGGACAAAGAUAUGUCCUAAGACCAUCCUAAGACAUGUCUUAGUCCUAAGACAGCUUCGUGAAACUGGCCCCUGAUG
rnacentral:lncRNA from 1 species